ACCUGGUUGAUCCUGCCAGUAGUCAUAUGCUUGUUUCAAAGGUUAAGCCAUGCACGUGUGAGUAUAGGGGGUCAAACCUCUAGACUGCGGACGGCUCAUUAAAUCAGUUAUAGUUUAUUUGAUAGUGUUUGUAUAAGGGUACUUAUGGGAAUUCUACAACUAAUACUUGCUUAAACCCUUGCCUAAUAGCUAGGAUGUAUUUAUUAAUCAUAAGAUCGAUACCCUUAUAUUGAUUUAUAAUAUUUUUACGGAUUGCACGACCGUCGUCGGCUACGUUUCAUUCGAAUUUCUGCCCUAUCAAUUUACGAUGGUAGGGAAGUGGCCUACCAUGAUCAUAACGGGUAACGGAGGAUUAGGGUUUGAUUCCGGAGAGGGAGCUUGAGAGACGGCUACCACAUCCAAGGAAGGCAGCAGGCGCGAAAAUUACCCAAUGCRGACKUYGUGAGGUAGUGACAAUAAAUAACAAUAUCGGGCUUAUUAAGUUUGGUAAUUGGAAUGAGAACAUCCUAAAUACCUUAUCGAGGAUCUAUUGGAGGGCAAGUCUGGUGCCAGCAGCCGCGGUAAUUCCAGCUCCAAUAGCGUAUAUUUAAGUUGUUGCGGUUAAAAAGCUCGUAGUCGAUUCUCGGAUGCGUCCAAUGGUCCUUUUUUCGAAAAUGUGCAUCAUGCGGGGGCGUCUUAUUGUGCGGAACGCGCAUUCGGGCUUAAUUGUCCGGGGUGCGGGAGGUGCGAUGUGACUUUGAGUAAACUAGAGCGCUAAAAGCGGGUGUGAGCCAUGCAUAUAGUAGCAUGGGAUGACACUAUAAGACUUCGGUCCGUAUGUCGGUCUGCGGUAUCGAGGUAAUGAGCGAUGGAGGUGAUCGGGGAUGUUCCUAUUUCGGUGUCAGAGGUGAAAUUCUUGGAUUUACGAAAGAGGAUCUAAUGCGAAAGCAUCCAUCAAGAACACCCUCGUUGAUCAAGAACGAAAGUUGGGGGAUCGAAGAUGAUUAGAUACCAUCCUAGUCUCAACCAUAAACUAUGCCGUUUGGGGAUUGGCGGGUGUUUAUUUACGACCUUGCCAGCACCCUAUGAGAAAUUAUUAACGUGUGGGUUCCGGGGGUAGUAUGGUCGCAAGGCUGAAACUUAAAGGAAUAGACGGAAGGGCACCACCAGGCGUGGAGCCUGCGGCUUAAUUUGACUCAACGCGGGAAAACUUACUAGGUUAGGACAUAGGAAGGAUUGACAGAUUGAUAGCUCUUUCUUUAUUCUCUGGGUGGUGGUGCAUGGCCAUUCUUAGUUCGUGGGUUAUCUUGUCUGGUUUACUCCGUUAACGAACGAGACCUCGAUCUGCUAAAUAGAUGUUUCUACGAUCAGARGAACACGUUUUCUUAGAGGGACCAUCGGUUUAAGCCGUUGGAAGUCCGAGGCAAUAAUAGGUCUGUGAUGCCCUUAGAUAUUCUAGGCCGCACGCGGGCUACRCUGRCRCAYUCWACRAGUUYYMUCGGYCGAGAGRCCCRGGUARUCWWYGCAYRUGYGYCGUGCUGGGGCUAGAAUWUUGRAAUUGUUAUUCUUUAACGAGGAAUGCCUAGUARKUDYCGGUCAWCAGCCGGYGUYGAUUAUGUCCCYGCCCUUUGUACUCACCGCCCRUCGCUUGAUCCGACGUUGCARUUGGUGAAAUGUUUGGAUCGGUUUWGYGUCAYGAAAGUGWUGCUWGACCGAGAAGUUCUUUGAACCACCUGUUAUGGAGGAAGAAGAAGUYGUAACAAGGCCGUAGUAGAUGARYCUGCCACGGGAUCAUUG
rnacentral:rRNA from 1 species